UCCCUUCUACGCUGCGAAAGCACCACCCGUCACAGAGUAAGACAUUUUUAAACGGUUAAUCAAAAGUGAAGCUGUGAUGAUGACGAAUGGCCAAAAAGUGCCAACACUGGAGGUGGCUGUGCAGCUACCGGACUCCAAGGUGGCUGCUAUGGAGAACAGUGGCACAAUGAGUGGGCCGCUGAUGGGGACGACGAGGCCUUUUGCACGGAAAGCUGAACUCUUGCACGUGGCACUUAGGCUGUUGUGCAUGGCCACAUCUGUGGCAGCUCUUUCGUUUAUGGUCACAGCCCAUCAGUCCAGCUCUGUCUCCAUCUAUGGGUUUAAGCUUCCUGUUUACUCUAAGUGGUCCUUCUCUCACUCGUUCGUGUAUUUAGUUGGAGUCUCAGCAGCUGUAGUUGCACACUCCUUGCUGCAACUGCUAAUUAGCAUGUCAAGGUUGCUUAGAAAAUCUCCAGUGAUUACAUCAAGAAGUCAUGCAUGGCUUAUUUUUGCAGGCGAUCAGGUGUUUGCAUAUGCAAUGAUUGGUGCUGGGGCUGCUGCAUCAGGGGUCACCAACCUGAACCGCACAGGAAUCCAACAUGCCCCUUUGCCAAAUUUCUGCAAGCCCUUACACUACUUCUGUGACCAUGUUGCUGUCUCUAUAGCCUUCACUUUUUUCAGCUGCUUCUUGCUUGCUGCAUUGGCCGUUCAUGAGGUUAUGUGGCUCUCCAAGUCAAAGUAUUGAAGUUCCUUUGCCUUCGAUACUGGAUGUUUGCGCACUUAUAUGAGCAUGUACACUUUUAGGAAAUAUAUAUAUGCUCUAAUUAGUUCCACUGAUCGACUUUCUUAAUGGAAAAUUCUGUAGUUUACCACGUUUAAGUUGCCUUAAUUAGUAAAGAGCAAAGAUGGGGGUUUAUCUAAUUAUGAUAACAUGUUCUAAUUCAGUGAUUAUGAC
rnacentral:misc_RNA from 1 species